rnacentral:lncRNA from 1 species
GCUCCGCCAAUUGCAGCUCGGCGGGGAGUGAUGGGAGAUGACGGCGGCAUUACCUCAGUGGCGCUCCCCGGGCGGCCGUGCGCGGCGCUGUGGGGUCCGCACCUGUCCCGUCUUUUCUGACUUCUUUUUUUUUUUUUGGAUUCCUUCCUAAGCAGAUCCCACGCUGAUGAUAUUGAUGUACGUGGGGGAGGGAAUGGAGGAAUGACUGCCCUAAGCAAAAGGAAGCACGGAGAGCUAGAGCUUGGCCUUUGCCAUUAUCCUGCAAUAAAACACACUGCAGAAGCCCGGUAUAAAGUUCCAGGUCACAGAGCCAGCUCUCACAGAUGUUACACAGGUCUGACAAACUAGGACUGGUGCCUCUGGCCUGUUCAUAGCAAGACAACAGUGUUUUCAAUGGGCAUAGGUGUGAGCUAUCAGGUGAAGUUCCAUACCAGUGCAUCCCUCCUGCAUGUAAGCUCUGCUGACCAUUGCUUUCAGUCUGGUGUUUCACAAGCAGAAUGAUGUAGAAAGGUGAGACAGGAUUAUCAAUGUUUGUGCGUCCAACAGUCGGUUUGGUUCUCGUCUGCCUACAAAACAGCGCUGGUAUCUUCCUGGAAGUACAUAUUGAGUUCAUCCCACAGAUCUACCUACCAACACCAGGAGCUCUUCUUUCAUGUGGAAAAAUAUAACCCAGUAAUCAUUGCUCCUGUCCUGUUCCUCUUCACCUUGCAGGUUCAAAACUUGUGAGCGCUCUGAUGGAGGGCAAUCUUAGGAGUGAAAUUAUAUGUUAUAAUGCUUGAUUGAAGUAUAUCAGCUUUGAUAAACGUUUCGAGCACUGAUAGACCUGAUAAUCAAAUGCUUGCAAUGCUCCUGGUGAUGGUAUGUAUGUGAACUGCCACAUCACGUCAGGUGCCAGGGAUCAAAAGUCACAGACUUUGAAAUGCCACAAUUACUCGUGAUGAUGACUUAUUUUCAUCUUGCAGUCCUUGUAUAGCAAACAUAAGC